UUUCAAAGGAAUACGAAGAGAGAAUUUCAGAACUCAUCAAGAAUUUGAAGAUCAAAGAUGAUGAGAAAGAGCUACUUUCAAAGGAAUACGAAGAGAAAAUUUCAGAACUCAACAAGAAUUCAAAAAUCAAAGAUAAUGAGAAAGAGCUACUUUCAAAGGAAUACGAAGAGAAAAUUUCAGAACAAAUCAAGAAUAUGAAGAUCAAAGAUGAUGAGAAAGAGCUACUUUCAAAGGAAUACGAAGAGAAAAUUUCAGAACUCAACAAGAAUUUGAAAAUCAAAGAUGGUGAGAAAGAGCUACUUUCAAAGGAAUACGAAGAGAAAAUUUCAGAACUCAUCAAGAAUUCAAAAAUCAAAGAUAAUGAGAAAGAGCUACUUUCAAAGGAAUACAAAGAGAGAAUUUCAGAACUCAUCAAGAAUUUGAAGAUCAAAGAUGAUGAGAAAGAGCUACUUUCAAAGGAAUACGAAGAGAAAAUUUCAGAACAAAUCAAGAAUUCGAAGAUCAAAGAUGAUGAGAAAGAACUACUUUCAAAGGAAUACGAAGAGAAAAUUUCAGAACAAAUCAAGAAUAUGAAGAUCAAAGAUGAUGAGAAAGAGCUACUUUCAAAGGAAUACGAAGAGAAAAUUUCAGAACUCAUCAAGAAUCUGAAGAUCAAAGAUGAUGAGAAAGAGCUGCUUUCAAAGGAAUACGAAGAGAAAAUUUCAGAAGCCGUCAAAAAUGU
rnacentral:lncRNA from 1 species